CUAGCCCCUGUCUCUCCCGAGUUCACAGGGCAAAGACCCCUUCUUCAGCUCUCACUCCCAUAAGCCCCUUCUGCUGCUCCAACUGCCAUUCCCACCCCUGGCAACAUUCUAAAGUGAUGGUUCCUCAGUCUCAGUUUUCCUUUCCACACUGGGUUUAACUGAAGUGAAGUGGAAUCAAGGCCACAGAAGCAUGUCUGUUGGGUUAUUUCUGUUCUAAGGGGAGCACAGUAUCUUGACACAAAAGGAUUCUUGGAAGUCCAAGGGAUUGACUGUAUCACUUACCUUGCUGGAGCUCCACCCAAUGCAUUGCGAGAGGGAAGGAUCAGCUGCCCUACCUUCAAGAUGCCCCACCAGGGGAAGGAAGAACGAGCUUGGCUAACGCCUUUUGGGGUAAAUGUGUGUCAUCUGGCUCUUUUGCACAAAUUUGAUUACCCAUCAGCUGAUAAGCUCAGGAGUCUCUCAGACCAUGCUUUGUGUCUCUGGUGACCCUGACUCUGUGAUCUGUAUGCCCACAAUAAAUUCAAUUUUG